GACGAACGCUGGCGGCAUGCCUAAUACAUGCAAGUUGAACGAUGAUAUUCUCUGCUUGCAGAGAAUUGAAGAGUAGCGAACGGGUGAGUAACACGUGGGGAACCUGCCCAUGAGAGGGGGAUAACAUUCGGAAACGGACGCUAAUACCGCAUAAUGCUUUGGACCGCCUGGUCCAGAGACGAAAUUCGGCUUUUGCUGUCACUCAUGGAUGGCCCCGCGCCGUAUUAGCUAGUUGGUGGGGUAAUGGCUCACCAAGGCUGUGAUACGUAGCCGACCUGAGAGGCUGAUCGGCCACACUGGGACUGAGACGCGGCCCAGACGCCUACGGGAGGCAGCAGUAGGGAAUCUUCCACAGUGGGCGAAAGCAUGAUGGAGCAAUGCCGCGUGAAUGAAGAAGGUCUUCGGAUCGUAAAGUUCUGUUAUUAGAGAAAAACAAGUCAAGGAGUAACUGUCUUGAGUUUGACGGUACCUAACCAGAAAGUCACGGCUAACUACGUG
rnacentral:rRNA from 1 species